UACGAAGGGGACUAGCGUUGUUCGGAAUCACUGGGCGUAAAGCGCACGUAGGCGGAUUUGUAAGUCAGGGGUGAAAUCCCGGGGCUCAACCUCGGAACUGCCUUUGAUACAGCAAGUCUUGAGUUCGAGAGAGGUGGGUGGAAUUCCUAGUGUAGAGGUGAAAUUCGUAGAUAUUGGGAAGAACACCAGUGGCGAAGGCGGCUAACUGGUCCGGUACUGACGCUGAGGUGCGAAAGCGUGGGGAGCAAACAGG
rnacentral:rRNA from 1 species